rnacentral:rRNA from 1 species
CCACCUGCCCCAUGCUCCAGAAUAGCUCUUGGAAACGGGUGGUAAUGCUGGAUGCUCAACUUGACGCAUGUCUUUGUUGGGAAAGUGUUUAGUGGGCAUGGGAUGGGGUCGCGUCCUAUCAGCUUGUAGGCGGGGUAAUGGCCCACCUAGGCUUCGACGGGUAGCCGGCCUGAGAGGGCGGACGGCCACAUUGGGACUGAGAUACGGCCCAGACUCCUACGGGGAGGCAGCAGUGGGGAAUAUUGCGCAAUGGGGGAAACCCUGACGCAGCGACGCCGCGUGCGGGAUGAAGGCCUUCGGGUUGUAAACCGCUUUUGAUUGGGAGCAAGCCUUUUGGGUGAGUGUACCUUUCGAAUAAGCGCCGGGCUAACUACGUGCCAGCAGCCGCGGUAAAU